GAUGAAGAACGUAGCGAAAUGCGAUACUUGGUGUGAAUUGCAGAAUCCCGUGAACCAUCGAGUCUUUGAACGCAAGUUGCGCCCGAAGCCAUCAGGUUGAGGGCACGUCUGCCUGGGCGUCACAUAUCGUUGCCCAAUGCCUAUUGCAGUGCAAUAGGAAUUUCUAGGGCGAAUGAUGGCUUCCCGUGAGCGUUGUUGCCUCGCGGUUGGUUGAAAAUCGAGUCCUUGGUAGGGUGUGCCAUGGUAGAUGGUGGUCGAGUUAGAACGAUACCGAUCAUGUGCAUGCUCCCCAAAAUAUGGCCUCUAUGACCCACACGCGUCUUUUUACGCUCAUGACGAGACCUCAGGUCAGGCGGGGCUACCCGCUGAAUUUAAGCAUAUCAAUAAGCGGAGGA
rnacentral:misc_RNA from 1 species